AUGCUUCAGUAUAAUGAGGCUUACAUGUUUACUAACAGCUCUUCAGAUUAAAAGGUAUUAUGUUUCUGCAACCCAGACAUUUCAUUAGAAUUCUCCUCCUAUAAUAAGAAAUGCUAAUUAGAGGGAUAGUAGACACACAAACACACAUGUGCUAACAUUUACCUUACAAAAGUACUUUGAAACUGUUUAUUUCUAUAGCGAUUGAUACAGACCCCCUCCCAGGUGUUACCGGAAGAGGUAUAAUAAAGAAGGAAAUCGAGACACAGUCAAAGAGUCAUCCUGGUGUGAAUUUAUUUAAAGACAGGUAUAUGUCCACACAACAUCAAGAAGAUUCUUUUACCAGUGACACCGCACCACGUAAAUUCUCAACAAACGAGAUCAGUUUUUCAUCCUUUGACAAUCAAGAAAGACCUUAUGAGUCCAUUUCACCCCAUGUGACUGAACCCCCAAAAGCAAAUCCUGGAACAUCUAGGGCUGGGUCAACCAUUUAUAAAGCCAUCCAGCUUCCUUCAUUGAAUAAAGAACUUUCAGGGCAUCCAAAAAAUUCUAUCUCAAAAAAACAUGUUAAACUUACAAAUACUCUGCCUGCUGUGAUCUCUACAACUAGAAAACCUAUCUAUGAAGGUAAAAAAUCACUGCUAUACAAAGAAAAAUGAAAUAAAGCUUUAUACUAUGUUUCCAUUGUCUCUAUUUACCAAUCACCUUAAACCUAUGGACCCCCUUCCCCAGACAACCAAUGUUAUGAGUCAAGUAUAUUUUUCUAAACCUUUCUUCAAACAUGGUUUCACACACACACACACAC
rnacentral:lncRNA from 1 species